rnacentral:rRNA from 1 species
CCUACGGGUGGCAGCAGUGGGGAAUAUUGCACAAUGGGGGAAACCCUGAUGCAGCGACGCCGCGUGAGUGAAGAAGUACUUCGUUAUGUAAAGCUCUAUCAGCAGGGAAGAAAAUGACGGUACCUAAGUACGAAUCCACGGCUAACUACGUUCCAGCAGCCGCGGGACUACGUAGGGGGCAAGCGUUAUCCGGAUUUACUGGGGGUAAAGGGAGCGUAGAGGGCAGUGCAAGUCUGGAGGGAAAGGCGGGGGCUCAACCCCCGAACUGCUGUGGAAACUGUAUGGCUGGAGUGCAGGAGAGGUAAGUGGAAUGCCUAGUGUAGCGGUGAAAUGCGUAGAUAUGAGGAGGAACACCAGUGGCGAAGGCGGCUUACUGGACUGUAACUGACGUUGAGGCUCGAAAGCGUGGGGAGCAAACAGGAUUAGAUACCCGAGUAGUC